rnacentral:rRNA from 1 species
GAACGGGUGAGUAACACGUGGGUGAUCUGCCCUGCACUUCGGGAUAAGCCUGGGAAACUGGGUCUAAUACCGGAUAGGACGAUGGUUUGGAUGCCAUUGUGGAAAGUUUUCGGUGUGGGAUGAGCUCGCGGCCUAUCAGCUUGUUGGUGGGGUAAUGGCCUACCAAGGCGUCGACGGGUAGCCGGCCUGAGAGGGUGUACGGCCACAUUGGGACUGAGAUACGGCCCAG